UGAACCAAUGAUGAAAACUCGUGGCAUAGAAGUCAAGGAUACUGAAUAAUGUGUGUCUAGAUCUCUGAGGUUCCG